rnacentral:piRNA from 1 species
CGGAGGACUGUAGUGGAUAAGCUGUAG